CUGAUGCUGACUUUCUGCCUUCUAUGUCUCAAUUUUAGGGACAAAAAUGAGACAUGGGUUUGCAAUGGCUUUCCUUCAGCCACUUUCUGGUUAAGAUCUGAAGGGUGUGAUCAACCUCCCUGGGGUUUGACAGGUUACUGUCCUGCUGUUGACAUUAAAAUUAAUUCUCUAAACAUCAUUUGUGCCUAGAAAGGUAACAAACUAAUCAGUACUUAAGCAAGUAUAUGGAGGAUUGAACUUUUAAAGUGGCAUGGACAGACUGUAAAAAAGGCCUGUGUCCUUGUUUUAGGAGAAGAAUACAAUUUCUUUUUUCUUCUUUUUAUUUUUUAAAUUUAUUUUAGGUUUAGAGGUACAUGUGUAGGUUUGUUAUACAGGUAAAUUGCACAUCACAGAGGUUUGGUGUACAGAUUAUUUCAUCAUCCAGAUAAUCAACAGAGUACCUGAUAAGGAAUUUUUCAAAUCUCUCCUUCCUCCCACCCUCCAGCCUCAAGUAGGACACAGUGCCUGAUAUUCCUUUCUUUAUGGUCAUGUGUACCCAGUGUUUAGCUCCCACUUAUAAGUUAGGAUGUGGCAUUUGGGUUUCUUUUUCUGCAUUAGUUUGCUUAGGAUUAUGGCCUCCAGCUUUAUCCAUAUUGCUGUAAAGGACAUGAUCUAGUUCUUUUUAUGGCUGUGUAAUAUGUUGUAUAUCCAUCCAUGGGCAUUUAGGUUGAUUCCAUGUCUUUGCUACUGAAUAUAGUGCUGCAAUAGACAUACGCACCCAUGAGUCUUUAUGGUAGAAUGAUUUAUAUUCCUUUGGGCACAUACUCAAUAAUGGGAUUGCUGGGUUGAUUGAUAAUUCUGUUUUAAGUUCUUUGGGGAAUCACUGCAGUGCUUUCCACAAUGGCUGAACUAAUUUACAUUCCCGCCAGCAGUGUAUAAACGUUUCCUUUUCUCCACAACCUUGCCAGCACCUGUUGUUUUUUGACAUUUUAGUAAGAGCCAUUCUGACUGGUAUAGAUGGUAUUUCAUUGUGGUCUUGAUUUGCCUUUCUCUGCUGGUUAGUGAUGUUGAACAUUUUAUAAUAUGCUUGUUGGCCAUGUGUAUGUCUUCUUUUGGACACAGUCUGUUCAUGUCCAUGCCUACUUUUUAAUGGGUUUUUUUUUUUUUUGCUUAUUAAUGUGUUUAAGUUCCCUGUAGAUUCUGGAUAUUAGACCUUUGUUAGAUGUGUAGUUUGCAAACAUUUU
rnacentral:lncRNA from 1 species